rnacentral:pre_miRNA from 1 species
AGGCCCUCAAUAAGUAUUUGUUGAAAGAAUAAAUAAACCAAGAAGUCUUAUUUGAGCACCUGUUAUG